rnacentral:rRNA from 1 species
CCUACGGGAGGCAGCAGUCGGGAAUAUUGCGCAAUGGAGGGAACUCUGACGCAGUGACGCCGCGUAUAGGAAGAAGGUUUUCGGAUUGUAAACUAUUGUCGUUAGGGAAGAAAAAAGACAGUACCUAAGGAGGAAGCCCCGGCUAACUAUGUGCCAGCAGCCGCGGUAAUACAUAGGGGGCAAGCGUUAUCCGGAAUUAUUGGGUGUAAAGGGUGCGUAGACGGGUGUUUAAGUUGGUUGUGAAAUCCCUCGGCUCAACUGAGGAACUGCAACCAAAACUGGAUAUCUUGAGUGUCGGAGAGGAA